rnacentral:rRNA from 1 species
GACGAACGCUGGCGGCGUGCUUAACACAUGCAAGUCGAACGGAAAGGCCCUGCUUUUGUGGGGUGCUCGAGUGGCGAACGGGUGAGUAACACGUGAGUAACCUGCCCUUGACUUUGGGAUAACUUCAGGAAACUGGGGCUAAUACCGGAUAGGAGCUCCUGCUGCAUGGUGGGGGUUGGAAAGUUUCGGCGGUUGGGGAUGGACUCGCGGCUUAUCAGCUUGUUGGUGGGGUAGUGGCUUACCAAGGCUUUGACGGGUAGCCGGCCUGAGAGGGUGACCGGCCACAUGGGGACUGAGAUACGGCCCAGACGCGAACGGGAGGCAGCAGGGGAGAAUAUUGCACAAUGGGCGGAAGCCUGAUGCAGCAACGCCGCGUGCGGGAUGACGGCCUUCGGGUUAUAAACAGCUUUCGCCUGAGACGAAGAGUGAGUGACGGUAAUGGGUAAAGAAGCACCGGCUAACUACGUG